UUUGCUCACGGAGCUCAUUAAAAUCGGCAGUUUGAUGGACUUCCACGGUGCCGCUGUCGAGUGCCUUCUGAAAUCAAAAAAUCUGCAGCUGUUCCCUGAAGACGAUGAAUUCCUUAACACUGCAUCGCUAGGUAUGUGACUGAUAAACAAAAAAUUUCUCAUCUUAUGAGUCUGAAAGUAUUUACCUCCUUAUGCAGUUGUCUCCAACUCUUUGACGCUUGUAUGCAUGCAGGUCGUAGCAGGAACUGUUAGUGAUCUCUGGAGUUGCUCUUGCGCAUGCCAACACAUGGGAGUGAAGUGGUGAGUGCAUUGCUUGUUUGUUUUUCUGUAGAAGUUGUAUCACCUCUGUAAUUGUGAUGGAAGCUUAUGUAGUAAGCUCACUUUACAGGUUACUUGCUGAUGGCCAGGUCUGCAGGAGCUUAAUUGGUGCUUAAAUCUGGAGGGCGCCUACUCGAUUAUCUUGUGCAUAUGUUUUGUCGCGAUUACUAGCUGUGAACUUUUGUUUUGGUUUUCUCCUUUUAUGAACCGGAACUUGUCUGUGUUUUUCAGUGUGAAAUGACCCUCGUACGUACUGGUGCGUUAUCCUUUCAUGUCUUGUGACCAUCUAUUAUAUCUUGUUAUUUAGCAUGAAUAUAUGUUGGACCAUGUGUGAGCUUGAUUGUGGUGGCCUGCUAAAUGAAAGAUGUCUGGUUGCC
rnacentral:lncRNA from 1 species